rnacentral:rRNA from 1 species
AGGGUUUGAUUAUGGCUCAGGAUGAACGCUGGCGGCGUGCUUAACACAUGCAAGUCGAACGGAGAACCCCUGACGGAGGAUUCGUCCAACUGAUGGGAAUUCUUAGUGGCGGACGGGUGAGUAACGCGUGAGGAACCUGCCUUGGAGUGGGGAAUAACAGUCCGAAAGGACUGCUAAUACCGCAUAAUGCAGCUGGGUCGCAUGACUCUGGCUGCCAAAGAUUUAUCGCUCUGAGAUGGCCUCGCGUCUGAUUAGCUAGUAGGCGGGGUAACGGCCCACCUAGGCGACGAUCAGUAGCCGGACUGAGAGGUUGACCGGCCACAUUGGGACUGAGACACGGCCCAG